rnacentral:rRNA from 1 species
GGACUACAGGGGUAUCUAAUCCUGUUUGCUCCCCACGCUUUCGCACAUCAGCGUCAGUACCGGGCCAGUGAGCCGCCUUCGCCACUGGUGUUCUUCCUAAUAUCUACGAAUUUCACCUCUACACUAGGAGUUCCACUCACCUCUCCCGGACUCAAGAUUGCCAGUAUCAAAGGCAGUUCCGAGGUUGAGCCUCGGCAUUUCACCCCUGACUUAACAAUCCGCCUACGCGCGCUUUACGCCCAGUGAUUCCGAACAACGCUAGCCCCCUUCGUAUUACCGCGGCUGCUGGCAC